rnacentral:rRNA from 1 species
GUCGGCCCCGCGCCGGCGACUCGCCGAAUGAGUUUCUGACCUAUCAACUCGAGACGGCGGGGUAGAGGCCCGCCGCGGUAACGACGGGUAACGGGGAAUCAGGGUUCGAUUCCGGAGAGGGAGCCCGAGAAACGGCUACCACUUCCAAGGAAGGCAGCAGGCGCGCAACUUACCCUAAUCUCGAUUCGAGGAGGUAGUGACAAGAAAUACCGAUGCGGGACCCUACGGGUGCCGCGUUCGGAAUGAGUACGAUUCGAACCACCUAACGAGGAACGAUCGGAGGGCAAGUCUGGUGCCAGCAGCCGCGGUAAUUCCAGCUCCAAUAGCGUACGUUAAAGUUGCUGCAGUUAAAAAGCUCGUAGUUGAACGUUCGGGUUCCGCGGGACGGGGCCGCCCGCGAGGGACGGCGCCGCCCGGGGCUCGUGAUAUCUUAUCUCGCCGCCGUCGCGAGGCGGACGGAGGGGAGU